UAUUGGUCAGUUCUCCCCUUGCCACAUCACCAUUCCCAAACGAGUCAGCACCAAGCAGGGCUGCUACCUAUGCUGCUUCAUUCCAUCAUUAUAAAUUGAGCUACAAUAUUCAGUUUCUUGUAAAGAUCAUCUGGUUCUUCUGCAUAUAUACGUAGGAAUGGUGGACCCCCUUUCACAGUGACUUCCAUUUUGACGGCACACAAGUGGAUGUUUUCUACUGAAGGCAGAGUCAUUAUAGUGUCUCUGCAGAUCUCAUUACAGGUCUAGCCUACCUGUCCUGCCAUGCAUGUUCUCAAUUUGGAGUGCCAAGCCGGACCUGCCACUACGUUAGAAUUCGUACAGAGAUGCUUCAUAAGAAUCAGUCUGGAAUCCGGCACCAAAUGCACAAGAAGAGGAAAAAUCAAACGCACAGGUCAGGACGUUCACAGGAAGAGAGAAAUGAUCAAUUGCCAUGUUGCAAUAUUUUGUUCGCAAUGUUGUAAUCUAUUACGAGUGGACGUGAUUAUAUUGUUGAAAGAUCUAGAGAAUGAAUGCUAUAGAUAAACUUUGAUGAGAGUAUCAAGGGUUCAAAAAGUUUUACUCCAUGUGAAUCCCUAGUUUACCAAAUUGAGUCACUUAAAGAUACAAGAUCUAUUACCUACGCCUGAUUUUACCUUGAAAAAAUAUAUUCAAAUGUGUAAUUACUAUUUCUGUGUGAUCUCCAAAGUAAUAAGCCUUCAGAUGUGACACGCCAAAUGAA